rnacentral:misc_RNA from 1 species
CGUUAAUAAUGAUAAUCUAGAUUUAAGAUAACUUUUUUUCACUGUGAGAACUUAUUACGUAUGUAUAUAUGUAUGUAAAACAAUAACUGUUGCAUUCAGUCAGUGAAUAUACAGUUAUGUGACUACUUCGUGGACGAUAAUGCAAGAUUUUUCUCUGACAGUUAACAGUGUAACGUAUCACAUAAGCUAGUAAAUUAUCGACUGACAAGUUAAAUCAGAUAAUAAGUUGAUAUUCUUAAGGUCCAAUUGAUCUAAAGAUACACUUUAAUUUAUAAAUAAUUAAAGAUUAAAUCAUCAACGAUGUCAAAAAAGCCUGGAGCUACUCAAGCUAUGCAUAAAGUUAUUAUGGUUGGAAGCGGAGGCGUUGGAAAAUCUGCUCUAACUUUACAAUUUAUGUAUGACGAGUUUGUUGAAGAUUAUGAACCUACAAAGGCAGAUUCCUAUAGAAAAAAGGUUGUAUUAGAUGGAGAAGAAGUACAAAUAGAUAUCUUAGAUACCGCAGGACAAGAAGAUUAUGCAGCUAUUCGAGAUAAUUAUUUUCGCAGCGGAGAAGGAUUUCUCUGUGUAUUUUCUAUAACAGAAGAUGACAGUUUUCAAGCUACACAGGAGUUUAGAGAACAGAUUCUCAGAGUAAAAAAUGACGAGAACAUUCCAUUUUUAUUAGUGGGAAAUAAAAGUGACCUGCAAGAGAAAAGGAAAGUCAGUUUAGCAGAGGCACAAGACCGAUCACAACAGUGGGGCGUACCUUAUGUAGAAACAAGUGCAAAAACGAAGGAAAAUGUUGAUAAGGUAAGAAUUUAUGAUCCUUAUAUUUCUAAUUAAUAAUUAAGGAUACGAGGAAAAUGCAGUUUAAAAUUCAACUGCGAUAUGAUGAUAAUAAAAAAAAGAAAAAAAACAGAAACUAUUAUUUAUGAUGUCUGAAUAUUUUAAUAAUCAGAGAUAAAUUACAAUGAUUAUAGAUUUUAUUUUUGAUAGAAUAAUUGUAUAACUUUUAAUGCAUAAAUUAUAGUGCUGUUCAUUAAUUCUGCUCGCUCUACUGCCCUCUGUAAACUUUCUUUUUUUUUGUAUUUAAUACAUUUCUUGGAUAUUUGAGAACAUAAUUCUUUUGUUUUUGUGCCUUCAAUUUCCAGAAACAUUUAAUUGACCAUAAAAUAAGUUUAUGACCUAAUUAAUCAUAAGGAAAUUGGAAGGGAAUAUAUUAAUAAGUUUGCUAUUACUUUAGAAACUUUACUUUUGCUGCUAAUACGAAAUACAAAAGAACGCUACUCAUGAAUCUUCGUGAUGUAUCCAAGAGAAAAAUAAUAUUAAAGUACAGUAGUAAAACAGGUUAAAGGGCGUGUGCAUUGAUGAUGGACAACACUGUAAAGUGUUAAUGGAAUGUUGUUUUGUUUGCUAUACUAUGGUGUUAAUCAUAUUAUACAUUAAUUCCAUUUAAUGCUCGUAGUUUAAUUUAAUAAUUCAUGGAAACAAAAAUUUCAUUCGCAGAAUUUAAAUUAAUUUGUACAAAUUAUAAUAUAUAUUUGUGAUAGAUAUACUUUAUGUCUCAUUUCAUAUAUCAUAUUUUAUUAUAUUGUAUACCAUUGGUAUUUGCUACAUUCUUACUAUACAAUAACGUACGUCACAGCGGUAAAAUCAUAUAUUACGGACAACUAAUAUUUUUCCUAGUAGCAUAUAUUUACUAUUGUAUGUAUGGUGUGUUUUUGUAGUAUGCAACAUAUGCCGACUAAAUCCAGAAUUAUAAUAGAAUCUUAAUCUUCCUAAAGAAUCCGGAGUAAAUUCCUGAGCUAAUCGCUGGAAAAUGUCUGUUAAUAACUAAAGAUGUGUUUUUCGACUUGAUGCGUGAAAUAAGGUCACGCAAGAUCGAAGACAAGUCGGCGAGUAAUGGUCGUGAAAAGGAUCGUGCCAAGCGGAAGAAAAA